GACGAACGCUGGCGGCGCGCCUAACACAUGCAAGUCGAACGAGCGAGAGAGAGCUUGCUUUCUCGAGCGAGUGGCGAACGGGUGAGUAACGCGUGAGGAACCUGCCUCAAAGAGGGGGACAACAGUUGGAAACGACUGCUAAUACCGCAUAAGCCCACGGGUCGGCAUCGACCAGAGGAAAAAGGAGCAAUCCGCUUUGAGAUGGCCUCGCGUCCGAUUAGCUAGUUGGUGAGGUAAUGGCCCACCAAGGCGACGAUCGGUAGCCGGACUGAGAGGUUGAACGGCCACAUUGGGACUGAGACACGGCCCAGACUCCUACGGGAGGCAGCAGUGGGGAAUAUUGCACAAUGGGGGAAACCCUGAUGCAGCGACGCCGCGUGGAGGAAGAAGGUCUUCGGAUUGUAAACUCCUGUUGUUGGGGAAGAUAAUGACGGUACCCAACAAGGAAGUGACGGCUAACUACGUGCCAGCAGCCGCGGUAAAACGUAGGUCACAAGCGUUGUCCGGAAUUACUGGGUGUAAAGGGAGCGCAGGCGGGAAGACAAGUUGGAAGUGAAAUCUAUGGGCUCAACCCAUAAACUGCUUUCAAAACUGUUUUUCUUGAGUAGUGCAGAGGUAGGCGGAAUUCCCGGUGUAGCGGUGGAAUGCGUAGAUAUCGGGAGGAACACCAGUGGCGAAGGCGGCCUACUGGGCACCAACUGACGCUGAGGCUCGAAAGUGUGGGUAGCAAACAAGAUUAGAUACCCUGGUAGUCCACACCGUAAACGAUGAUUAAUAGGUGUUGGAGGAUUGACCCCUUCAGUGCCGCAGUAACACAAUAA
rnacentral:rRNA from 1 species